UUGUAGUCUGGGGAAGAAAAGUUAAUGAGGUUUUAAAAAUCAGGUCUUGUCGUGUGGGGAGCUUGCUCCCCCAGGGGAGAGGCCCCUUUACCUCAGUGGAUCCUGUUAAGGAGUGCUUCCAGCCUCAGCCUGGGCCCCUCCCACCUGGCAUGGUAAGGGGGUAAGGGACGCUCAGGGAAGAGGUGCAUUCUCCGACCUCUGCCUCAGGCCUGAGGACGCCCACUGGGAGCUGGGGCAUUUCCAUCUCCUGGUGGCCAUCCCUGGUCAGGGUGUGAGUGAGCUCUGCUACUCCCCACCCAGUGCCUGAGGAGCCUGUCAGGUUUUGAGAGCUUGAUUUUAUGGUGGGUUUUGGAUUUAGUUUCCUUUUUCCUUUUUUAAAUAUUGGUUUUAAAAAGGGAGCCUGAUGCCCCCAAUUGGUAGUGAGAAUUUGGGGACCUCCCCAACCCCCGACCCCACAAACAGGGCCUCUGUAAUCCUCCAGCUAACUUCCUACAAACAUCUGCCUGGAAGAUUAGUAGAAUCCUAAUUCUAGGCUGGAAUGAGCUUCAUGAGGCUUGACAGAGGCUCACUGUCAGCCGUGGCUGGGGGCUGAAGGGGAGUAAGCAAGAGCAAAGUGGGAAGCCACGGCAGCCUCCGGCCUCCCCUGCUGAAUGCUCUAUACAAAUUCAGCACCUUUGACUGGUUUUGAGUGUGCAUUUUCUUUUAGUGAUACUGUUACCAGUGGCAGUUUGCUUUACAGAGGGGGAGCCCAGGUGGGAGAGAAAUGGGCUUGGGUUCCAUUCUCAGAAGUGAAUUGCAGACUGGAACUGAGCCAGAGAAGGCUGGGCUGUAGGGGUUGGAUUAGCAUGGGCUCAAGCUACACCAGCUCUGAAGAGGAGGAGCAGGAGGAGCCUGCCCACUGGGCAUCGUGCCAUCCCCAUCAGGACCUCAGACCUGGGGUACCUGAACUCUGUCCCUCUGCUGCCGCCUCUGUCUGGAAAUUGGACCAGAAUUCUGAUGUCCCUCCAGCCUCCUCCCCCUCCUCUGCUGGCUCUGGCAACAGAUCCUGGGAUAUGGUAAUUGUUUGGAUUUUCUUUCUUUCUGCAGUUGUGUGUGAAGAACAGGCUCUGUCCAGGUAGAAAGAUUGAGGGGCAGGGGGAGGGGAGUCCCAUCUCCAGGGUCAGAGACUUGGCAGGACUUUCCCCAAAGUGACUCAGGCACACCACAGUAACAGUCCCAACUGCAGUUUUAUUUUUACUUCAGAAGUAGAUUUCCUUCAAACCACAUGAGAUCUCUGCCACCCACCCACAAUCAAGCCCUAUAUUCCCAAGGAGGCUGACUCCGGGGGCCCUUCCCCCCAGGCCAGCAAUGUAUUCCGGGGAUGUAUUCUGGGGUCUGAGGGCCCUGGCCCAUUCUGAGAAAUGGAGCUGUAGCUAUGGCCUAGCCAGCACCCCCAGUGCUCGCUCAUGGGAAAUAUCAGCCCUAGGCUGGUUGUUUUUACAAAUCUCUCUCAGAUAUAUUAUUUUCAUGACAAAAAUGAAGGAGCUUUGUAAAUUUUUUAAAAAUUAUGAAUCGUAUCAAGUAGUUGUUUACAUUUGACAAAAUAGGAACUAUGCCGGCAGAGUCCAACCGAAAACCCCCUAGGUGAGAUAGGCAGUAACUGGGCCUGCUGUCUGCGCCUUUCGUAGUGACAGAUGUGGCUGUAGUGUUUAGGUGUUUGGUCUUGCUUCUUGUAUGGCAUUUUUCAAUAAACUUU
rnacentral:lncRNA from 1 species